rnacentral:rRNA from 1 species
UACGUAGGUGGCAAGCGUUGUCCGGAAUUAUUGGGCGUAAAGCGCGCGCAGGCGGUCCUUUAAGUCUGAUGUGAAAGCCCACGGCUCAACCGUGGAGGGUCAUUGGAAACUGGGGGACUUGAGUACAGAAGAGGAAAGUGGAAUUCCACGUGUAGCGGUGAAAUGCGUAGAGAUGUGGAGGAACACCAGUGGCGAAGGCGACUUUCUGGACAAAUACUGACACUGAGGCACGAAAGCAUGGGGAGCAAACAGG